UGAUAUUGCAUAUUUUGGUCG
rnacentral:piRNA from 1 species